CCCCUUGUGGCGGUGUUACCGGCGUUUUCCAACGCUAUAUGGGGGCAUAGCACCCCACUACAUUUGAUCUCAGAACACACAGAACAAUCUUUUCUCCAUCUCUCUCUUUCUUCUCUCUAUAACAACCGGUCACCACCAUCAUUUCGGCCACCACUUCCAGCCACCGGCAACCUAUCUAAACCCACCUCACUAUCUGAAAACACACCUGUAGCACAAAAUAAUUUAGCCUGAACCCUUGCCAUUGUCAGAUUUCAGCCUGAGCUAUAGCCAUCGCCGCUAAAUACCGGGUCGCCGCCAUCCUUCUGGUCGUCGAAUAAGGCUAAAAUACCGUGUCGCCGCCAUCCUUCUAGCCGUCGAACUAGGGUGGUGGUCGUUGCAGAGGCGCCGGUGGUUUCCCCUUAACCCUUUGACCUUCCUUGAUGCGGUAUUAGGGUUGCGUUUCAGGCGGCAAGGGUUUGUUGGAAAUUAUGAUGGUUGCUUUUUUAGUUUUAUAAAGAAGAUCCAAACAUUGGGCCAUUAUUUAUCUCAGAUUCAUUAUAUCACAAUUUGAUUGGGUAAAUACCCAUUUAUUAUUAUAUAUAUACAAUUUGCGUCGGCCUUAACUACAGUUCCGGUUUCUCGGUAUAUCUAACAUGCAUCUGCCGGUUUACGCCACGUCCCUCACAUCGGUUACCUGCAAAACCCUAGCCUUGGUCGACACCAUCUAUAGCCCUUAUCAAACUCUACGGCGACGGAAUCGUCCUCAAUAGAAGAUCCAAUCAAAUAGAAUAACGCCAGGAAGAACCCGCUGGAACAGGGGCAUAAGCCAUAGACGGUCACCGAAACAGGGUGACCGGCUGUAGGCUUUGGCCGGAUCCCCUUCCGUUCACGCUUUCUCUCUCUAUCGCUUAGAUUCUCUUUCUUUCCUCUUCUCCCUUUGGCCGAUUCUCUUGUGUGUUUUUUUGAUUUUUUUUAGGUUUAACCGAAGGAGACACUGAGGUUAUAGACGUCAGCAACUAAGGUGUUCCAACAGAAUUCCGGUGAAUAAGAUCUGUCGUGCGUGUCCCGUUUUUGUGUACAUCGACAAACACCGAGGUACCGCUACGGUUUUGACCCACUGGUGUUCGACGGAAUGCUUUUAUACGAUUCUUUGGUUUUAAAGUUUCGACGGUUAGAUAUUAGUAGAUUUUAUUCAUUGCAACAUUUGCUGAGUAUGUACCUUCAUUCAUAGCUGUUAAAGUCGGAGGGCGCUCUUAAGGCGCAAAAAGUGCACACCAUAUACAAAAAAAGCGCAGCCUCUUUCUGCUAUAAUACUUCCAGAUAUUUGUUGGUUAGAACUGGUGAACACUCAUUGUUCAUUACAAUAAUGUGACAAGUCUUGCACAAACUUCACCAUGACACAACAAAGUAAGGUGUAGACCAUAUAUAGGUUCUAUAGUCAAAGCCAUAAGGCGCACAUUUGGUGCGCAAGCGAGGCGAUGGCGCCUUAGGUAGACCUAAGGUGACAACCUUGCUCUAUGUGAAACAAAAGCUCAGGAUCAGAAGAUUGCUUCAGUCAUUAAUCAGUACACCAUGAACCGCUUUGCAAAUACUAAUACAUUUCGCGCCAAAAGACAUCUUGGGAAAAAUAUUCUUUCCACGCGAGUUUUACAGAUGAGAGAGAGUAAAUAAGGGAGGGCCGGUGCCGGUGUAUCUGAGGCGGCUCCGCGUCGGCAACACAAUCGUUCAUUUCUAUAAAAGAAGUUCAACUGAAAGUUUAUGUCAUGAUUUGAAUCGUCACUUUGGCAUAUUUUUAGAGAAGGGAGAGAGCCACAGGGAAAGAGGGAGAGAGAGAGAACGGGAAAGAGGGAGAGAGAGAGAGAGGCAAUGGAGAAGGUGAGACCAGGCACGGCCUCCGGCCGGCCACCUUAAACCGGCGAUAACGAUGACAGUGAUUGUGUCGCUUGGUCGGAGAACGAAGAUGGGAACGGUAGUUUAAAACCCUAGGCAACGAGGGGGUUCUGGUGAUGAGAUCGCAGGUCUAUUCUUCAUACGAUUAGGUCAUAUGGUUCAGACGACUGCAGCGAGCGGCGGCUAGGAUUUUGCCCUAUUUUAGCUGUUCAUGCUUGCCUUGCUCCUGUCGUGACGGACUGACGACAAAGUAUUCUGAGCGACCUUUCAAGUUCAUUUUAAAUAAUCAGGUUUUGGUUGACAUUGUGAAAUUGGUACAAAAAGAGGGAUGGAAGGUAGUAAUGGAGGUUAGAAGGAGUUUUUGAGUGUUUAUGAUAAGAAAUUUGGGAAAAAUUUUAGUAAUGCUGAUGAUUUGAAGGUGGUUGAAAAGCAUGAGAGUGUAUAUCAACAACAAACGGAUUAAAUGUCUCCUGAACAGGUUUGUUUUGAACAUGAGAGAGAGAGAGAGAGAGAGACAAUGGAGUAGGGGAAACCAGGCACGGCCUCCGGCAGGCCACCUUAAACCGACAACAACGACGACAGUGAUGGUGUCACUUGGUCAGUGAACGAAGAUGGGAACGGUGGUCGUACUCGGUUCGACUUCUCCGGCGGCCAUACCCGGUUCGUCUCCUCAGGUUGUCAGUUCAUUAUCUCCUACGAGAGUUCACUGCAGAACAAUGGGGUUUUGGCCUACUUCUAUCUAUGGUAAAUUAAGGUUAUGAAUGGUUCAUGACAUGGUGUUUGUCUACAAUUAGAAUGUCAGUUAUGGUACAUUGUUUCCGUGAUGAUGUAAUAAAGCAGCUUGUGCGAGAGUUGAAGUAUCUCGAUGAAACCCUACCACUAAGAAUUAAAGUAUGGGUAAACAAUGAUGAUUUUCCAACUAUAUAUCCUCCCUUUUCUGCCGAUGAUGGCCAGCCCAGCUGGUCGGAGGUGUGAGGGUUUUACCCACAGGUCACGGGUUCGAUCCUGGCCAGUGGUGGUUUCCCGCAUGGGGUCCCGGUUCGAUCGGAAGGCGCUUGCGGGCGGGCCGGUUCGAAUGCGGGUGGGUGAGUCGCUGCGAUUUAUGGGACGCGGGGCUGACCAGCUGAUCUAAACCUUUCAAAAAAAAAAAAUAUAUCCUCCCUUUUCUGAUUGUUGAAAAAGAGCCUAUUUUAAAAGGCUGCAAUUGAUUCAUCUCAUCUUAUGAAAUAAAGAGUGGACAUGGGAAAUUGGCAAGGCAAAUGACAUUUCUAAUGGCAUUUUUUGAUUAUACAGGAGGAAACUGUAUAAAGGUAUAAUCUUGAGUUCGUUCUUAUUUGCAUAGUAUGUGAUCGUUAUUUUAGGUUUUGUGAAAUUUAUGGUCAGAUGUGAUACAGUUUGAGUAGAUUGUGUGAUUUUGCACAAAAUGUAAUGAAAGAGGAUUCACUAA
rnacentral:lncRNA from 1 species